rnacentral:misc_RNA from 1 species
GAUUAAGAACGUAGCGAAAUGCGAUAAGUAAUGUGAAUUGCAGAAUUCAGUGAAUCAUCGAAUCUUUGAACGCACAUUGCGCCCGUCAGUAUUCUGGCGGGCAUGCCUGUUCGAGCGUCAUUACGCCCCUCAAGUCCCCUGUGGACUUGGUGUUGGGGAUCGGCGAGGCUGGUUUUCCAGCACAGCCGUCCCUUAAAUUAAUUGGCGGUCUCGCCGUGGCCCUCCUCUGCGCAGUAGUAAAACACUCGCAACAGGAGCCCGGCGCGGUCCACUGCCGUAAAACCCCCCAACUUUUUAUAGUUGACCUCGAAUCAGGUAGGACUACCCGCUGAACUUAAGCAUAUCAAUAAGCGGAGGA